AAAUGACAAGGAUUAAGGAUUAAGGAUUCGUACUUUGUUUUAUCCACGUCCAAAAAUACCUCAAAAAUAAUCAUAGUGGUGUAAAAUUCAAGAAUGAUCAAAACAUGGAUACAAUCAAAGCUAGUAUCCAGAAUAGAUAUUUUGAACGAAAAGAAAAAAUUUUAUUUUUCGAUGAAUAGUGCCGUAUUCGUGAAUAGUACUGUAUAUGUGAAU
rnacentral:lncRNA from 1 species